CCUACGGGGGGCUGCAGUCGAGGAUCUUCGUCAAUGGGCGCAAGCCUGAACGAGCGACGCCGCGUGCAUGAUGAAGGCCUUCGGGUUGUAAAGUGCAAAAGUGGGGAUAAAACCGCAAGGUUGAUUGAUCCACAGUAAGGACGGGCUAAGUUCGUGCCAGCAGCCGCGGUAAGACGAACUGUCCUAACGUUGUUCGGAAUCACUGGGCUUAAAGGGCGCGUAGGCGGUCCAACAAGUCAGGGGUGAAAUCCUGCAGCUCAACUGCAGAAGUGCCUCUGAUACUGUUGGUCUUGAGGGAGAUAGGGGUGUGCGGAACUUCCAGUGGAGCGGUGAAAUGCGUUGAUAUUGGAAGGAACGCCGGAGGCGAAAGCGGCGCACUGGAUCUCUUCUGACGCUGAGGCGCGAAAGCCAGGGGAGCAAACGGGAUUAGAUACCCCAGU
rnacentral:rRNA from 1 species